AUUUCUUAACAGCUUUUUAGGGUUUCUCUUCUGUGAUCCUUAGUUUGGCAAAUUAAUAUGAAAUCAAAGUUAAAUUCGAUGGGUAAUAGUGAUGUUGGUGGUGUUGUUGAUUGGUCUGAGAUUGCAGAGGAUGAACUGGUUUCCAUUGCUAAUCGUCUCUAUAGUGUGACUGAUUACUUCCACCUUAGUCAAGUUUGCAAAGCAUGGAGAUCUAUCAAUACUUUAACUCGUCAAAAUGUUUUGAUUCCUCAACCACCUUUGCUAAUGCUAGCUGAAUCCAAGAAGAACACAACCAAAGAAGAGGACAAUCUGCAGACAAACAACAAGACUGUUCGUCGUGGUUUUGUUGGACUUAACAACACAAACAAGGUGUAUGAGCUGCAUCUACCUGAAUUAUACCAAAGGCGAUGUGUUGGAUCUACAGGUAACUGGCUUAUUACAGUAAAUACAGAACUAGAAAUAAAUAUUUUCAAUCCAUUUAGUAGAACUCAGUUUCACCUUCCUUCGCAAUCCACACUCCCAGAUCAGUAUCUGUUUGAGUUUUCUGAUGGAGAAGAUGAUGAAUUUACCCAAGAAGAUUAUACAGGUCGUUUUUUAACGAAAGUAGUCUUAUCCUCUCCCUCAGCAUACAUAAACUCAAAAUUAGAUGAUGUUGUUGCCAUAGCAUGUUAUGGUACUAAGAAGAGAUUAGCAAUAGCUAGACCUGGAGAUGAAUCAUGGACAACUAUAAAAUCUGCAGAUAUAUUAGUUGACGAUGUAAUUUUUUUUAAGGAUAGAUUCUAUUUUGUUAAUCGCGUGGGAAGAGUUGCCUACUAUGACAUUAGUUGCAAUCCUAUUGUGGCCACACAUGUGUCUGGAGAAUUUAGGACAGAUCGUUAUUAUGUUGAUAAGUAUUACUUGGUGGAAUGGAUGGGUGAGUUGCUUAUGGUUUGUAAAUAUUUCACAGAAGAUGAAUUAUACUACAACACACGAGAAUUCCGAGUUUUCAAGUUCAAUUUCGACAUUAAGGAGUGGGAGGAGAUAAAGAGUUUAGGGCAAUAUUCAUUGUUCUUAGGAUUUAAUACAUCGGUUUCUUUGUUGGCAUCUGAUUCGUCGACUUUUCGGUGUGAUUGUAUUUAUUUUACAGAUGACUAUAUGAUGGGAUAUAUUGGAACUGGAACUGAAGGUGGUAGUGACAUGGGAGUAUGUGAUUUAAAGGAUGGAACAAUCAAACCACAUUAUGCUGGAAUUUCCACCUCACUUUACUCACCUCCUUUGUGGAUUAUCCCACAAUCACUAUACCAAUCAUAGGAGUCGGAGAGUAUCGGCAUAAGAUCAAUGAUAUACAUGUGUGAGAAACAUCGACAAAUUUUGCUACAGAUGAGAAUGUCUGGAACUUUCAUCUGAUCAUAUUCUGAACAAAUUUUGAUGCUGCUUUGGACAGAAAUUCCAAACCAAGUUGCAUGCAGAUAAUACUGUGGUGAAGGUACUCUUUGAACGACAAUUGUUUAGAGUGGUUUACUUUGUUAUAAAUUUUCCAAAUACUUCUCUGUUUUAUGGGCGCUUCUGAUUUUAGUUUACUGCUUGAGUGAUGGCUUCACCGGGUAAUAUAUAAAACACUGCAUAGGCCAUGGCCACAUUUGUGGUUUCUAAUUGGAUUUUCAUCUUCCUGUAGAAUUACUAGUGGGAGACACGAAUCGAAUAAACAUAUACUUUAAAACACCAAAGUGAGGCCCGAACCUAUAGUCCUUCGUCAGAUCUGGGUAUCUAAUUAGAAUGGGGUCUGACUUUUAUCUUAUAGGCCUAGUUUCUGUAAAUACAUGGGUAGGAGAAGAUAGUCAGGCCUAGUUUCUGUAAAUACAUGGUCUCUCUCUCUCUCUCUCUUAGACACUCUUUGUAAAGUCACAUAUGUAUACUGUAUAGUAUGUCUUGUUAAGAACGGAAUAUUCCAUGGAAACAGCGUAAUUUUAUUUUUGUAGGAUCUGUGUUAUGUGAAUUAUGAGCUAUAGCCAUAAGUAGGCAGUAAUAUCAAAAGUGUAAAACAACCAUAGCUUAUGUGUUUGUCGACAUUCAUGAGCUUUUGAACUGGGAUCCGAUUCUAACUUCCAAUUUGGUGUGUUAAUAUAUCAUCAUCAUUAGGAUCAGCUAAUGCAUUUGAGUCAUGUUUGCAUGGAAGCUUUAUAAAUUCUAAUGUAACACAUACUAGCUGGGAUUUGCUCUGCCUACUCCAGUUACAAUCCACCUGGCUUAAAGCCCAUGCCUUCUCUUAAUCUAAACCAGGUACAGUCCACCUGGUUUAAAUUUGUGUAGGUGUUGCUUCCUUAACAGGUACUUAGUCAUCACAUAUGCCGUGUUUUAUGUUAUUAACUCUUAAAUUUGCAAGUGCUAAAUUUGGAAUCAGGAAGACCUUAUUGAUGCCAGAUUGCCAGUAGCUUGAGAAAAAACAAAUUUCUAUCUUAUAUUACAUUCACCGAUUAGACAUCCAACACCAUGAAUUAGCAAAAUUGAAAAAAUGUUCUCCCCUUCAAUAGUCUAGAAGGUUUUCUGUUCAACAACAACAACAAACCGUUUCGAGGUAAUGCUUCUUCUUCUUGAUCUUCAUCUUCCUUUCACCUUCAUCAUCUUCACUUCUUCUUACUCUUCUCCUACUACUACCAUUUCUUGUUCUAAUCAUUCUUCUACUUGUAAAUCUUUUCACAGAGAAAUCGAAAUUGAACAUCACAUUCUUGUCUUCUUGUCAAAGGUAAAUGCUUGUCUUUUCUUCUUCUUCUUCUUUAAUGAAAGUUGUAGUUUUGAUUGUUUAGUUUUCUUCAUUCUAAGUUGUGUGUUUUCUAAUUCGGAUUGAAUCACAUCAUUCACAAUUGUGUAAAGAAUUCAUGUCUUAGAGAUAGUAGAUUGCAUGAAGUUGAUAUUUGAUGAACUUUUACAAAAUAGAAUUAGAAGAGAUACUGAUAUUUAAGAUUGUUUUACCUUUAAACGCUAUUGCAUCUUCAUCACUCAUUACUUCAUUAGUAGACUAUUUAACAACAUAAGGCAGUAAUUUCUUGGAUAAUGUAGCAUUAAACAGAAUUUGAAUUGUUUGAUCAUUUUCAGUUAUCUCACAUAAGCUGGAUUAAUAGUAGUAGAGUUUGAGAACAACAUGUUUGAGCUUGAAUUGUUGUUGCAGUUCUUGAUUUGAAGCAUUUUCUGUGUUAUUACUUCAGUCAUGUUGAAAAUUUGAAAAGAAGAGAAUUUUAACAAAAAAACUUAAAAAAUAGAAGCUUUAGAGCUUCAAAACCACCAUUAAUGGAUAAUUGCUGUUUAGCUUAUGCUCUGAUAUCAUACUAAAUUGAGAUGAGAAGAAGAUUAACAAGAAGAUUUCUUAACAGUAGCUGGUUAUUCAUAAACUCAUAACAGAAACUAAACCACCUAAGUAUUCCUUAAUUAGUUAUAACUAAUCAUUAGAUAAACUGAAAUAGUUUUAAUGACGAAAGCAAGUGAACUUGGUGUUCUAUGGAUUGAGUGGCUGAGAGUGCGAAGUUCUGAUUUUAGUAGGUGAAGAAGCUAAUUGAAGAACAUUAGAAGUGUAUUCUUAGUUCAUCAAUUACACCCCCUAAUGAUGCCAAAUAGUCAGCGAACUCAUUACUAUCUUUGUAAACAUGUGCGUAGCUGAUAUCCUGAAUUUCACUUGCUAGUUAAAAAAAAAAAAAAAAAAGAAUCCUUACUGUCCUAUAAGCUGCUGGGAUAGGUCUACUCUGUUAGGAAGGUUGGAUCUACUUACUAAAACCAAUUGCAAUUAAGACUUCCUAACAGAGUAAAAGUGGCAUACUAUAAGUCCAGCCAUUACUGAGAAAGGGGUUGAUCUUGAGGUUGUAGAUUAUUAUGAAGUAACUCCAUUAAGAGAAAGGGGUUGAUCAUAAGGUUCUGAUGGAAGUUUGUAACGUAAUAAUAGUGACAUGUUUAUGCACUCGAUGUGUUUUUUUUUCUUGAAGUUUGUAUCAUAAGAUUCUGAAGGUUCUGAUGGCAGUAUGUUAUAUAGUUUCAUUGGUCUGUCCUUGUAUGAUUACUCUCUCCUGUUUGAUUUUAAAGACUAGAUAUUGUUUGUUGGAUGGGUGUACUUUAAUAGAUUUGUGACAUCACAUGCUCUAUUUGAAGCAGUUUGUGUGUUAUUACUUCGAGUCAUGAAGAAAAUUUGAAACAGAACUUUGAAUAGAAGAGGAUUUGAACAAAAAAAAACCCUUGAAAAAAGAAGCUUUAGAGCUUCAAAACCACCUUUAAGGGAUUAUUCUUUGAAGGAUCUAAUGCCUCUCCUGAGAUUUAUACCUUGGUGGUUCGUUAGUUAUUAUUAUUUUAUAUUAUUUAGUUUUCAAGCUUGGAUCUUUUUCAUAUUUCCUCUCUGAUAAGUUCCUUAGUGUUCUUUAAGUCGGUGUUUAUUGGGAAGGAGAACGAGAGAGAUACGUUUCAGAUGCUUAUAUUUUUAUCAUUAUUGUGUAUUCUGUUAUAGUUUAUUUUAUUUCAAAGUUUGUUAACCUAGUUAAGUCUAGGUGGAAAUAUUUUGGGGACAUACUGACGUGUAUGGUGGGAAGGCACUUAGAAGAAACUUCUCUCCUAUGCGCUAUGACUUACUUUGUUUUUGCCUGUAGAUGGACCCAGAAAUCUUUUACUGCUGCCAAUGCACAGUUGAAGAAUUUCAGAAUGUUUACCAACUGCGGGAUCACUACAGAGAGUCUCAUCGUGAUAUGAAGGUCGUGUGCAAAAUUUGUUAUAACCAGUUUCGCCGACAAAAGGAUUUAGAAAACCCACGAUGAGGAGGAACAUGUAAUAUCUUUCUAUUUCUUUUUCUUCCUAAUUUUAUCAUUCUUAUUGCCUUAUUUUUCUGCUUCUACGAAUAACUUAUUAAUGACUUCUUUAUCAUAAAAAAAAAAAGUUAGAGCCUGUCACUAUCACAUGUGUUCAUUGUGACCAUAGGGUGUUCUCAUAUAAGUUUGGGCUGAAGAGCCAUAAUGGAUGUCUUCAUGCUAAGCAUCAGGUGCUGUGCAAGGAGUGUGGUAAUGUCUUUCUGGAUUACAUUGAUCUUAAUGAUCAUGUUAAGAAGCACCAUACCAAGCGUAAGUCUUAGUAUGUUUGUGAUAUUUACUUCUUUGUUUGAAUUCUGCAAUGUAUUCUUAAAUUUAAAAUUGUAUUUGAUUGCUCUGCCGCUGUCUUACAUCACAAUCAGAAUUUGGACAGACCUCAUAGUGACGAUGAGGAAGAACAGUCACAUGAAGACUGAGAUGACUAUCAGGUUUGCAAUUUUCUUCUUCUUCUUCUAGUGCAUCUUGUCUUCCAUUCUUAUAUGCUUUCUGGAACAAUGGUAAGAGUAAUGCUUUAUGGGUUACCCACAAAGGUUAAAUCUUAGGCGAUUUGUUAAAUCUGUUUAAUUAUGAAUGUUAAGUUGAAUCCCCUCCAGUCUCCCCGAAUAAAAGGUUCUGACUCUGGUACAAUUUGAACUAUAGUAUAGUAAUAGAAGCUUUAUCCACAAUUAAACCUUAUUAAGGUUUUGGGGUGAGUAAAAUUCAUCUGAUUUGCAGAGCCAGAGUGUGGUUUACCCACAACAGAACCCCUAUUCGUCCUUCCUCAUGUUGAUUGUAAUGUUUCAAAUAAGUGAUUAAGAUUCUACGAUCCCCAAAUUAACAAAUAGAGAGUCAAGAGUAAGGUGAGAAAGAUUCAUCACAAAUUUCAAGUUCUUGAUUUUAUCGUGUUAAAGUCAAGAGUAGAAAGUUAGAAACAACAAAUGGGGAGCACACACUUGAUGUUAUUGUGUGAUAUUGAUUAAAAACUUGCUAAUUAGUUUUUGGAUUUUUUUUUUUUUUUGAACGAACCAGGAACAAAGAGCUUUUUUAUUUGCUGUUUAGUUGUCUGAUAAAAAGUCUGAAACGAAAAAGAAUAUUAUGACUGGUGAAAGAAUAUUUGGUUCAAAGUUUUUUGUCUCUAGCGGUUGGGCCGUGUACCCAACUUGUGGAGGAGCUGCUUUCUAGCACUCCUCAUAAGUAUGGGUUCAGACUUUCCACUAGGCACUUAAGGCAGGAUAGAGUAAUUUUAAGGUUUUGAAAAACCUUGAUAUAAUAAAUUUCUACAGAAAUGUUCAUAUGCACUCCACUAACUGCCUGAUUUGGGUUUAGUGAUGAAUUUCUCAUUUAGUGGCCUUCGAUUUAGUGGGAUCACCAGAACAUAGAAAAUUUCUCACUGGCAUCUCACUAGCUGUUUCAGUUACGUUACAUUAUUCACUCAGUCUCUAAAUGAUACUAGUAUCGACAUAAAUAUGAAUUUCGGGUUUUCUUUUGCCGACAGGUACAUAGUGACAUGUAAAGCACUCUGCGCCUCUGCCAAGUUAGUUCAUAUGGAUCAGAUUUUGUUCGACUUCUGCCAAGUUAGUUCUUAUCGAUCAGAAUGUGUUCGAGUAGGAAGUUACUUUGUUCAAUUGGAAGUUACUUCUUCCAAUUGACUUCUACUAGCUUGAGUUGAAUUUUUUUUUACUAAUGGUACGUAGUCUAACAUUUGGAUUUUAGAUACAUCUGGUGUACAUUAUACCACUUUUACUUUCUAUUUUCAGCUUAAGGUUGUUUAAGUUGUUCUCGAAUUGAAUGUUGACCAGUUGACAGAAUGCACCUUUUAGAAUAAAUAAUUGAAACUUUGUACAUCUGAUUUAGUGCUAUAGGUGCUUUUUUUUUUUAUAUAUUUUCAUGUGUUGCAAGUUACAUGAUAUGAUUAGAAUCUGAAUUGCAAAUGGUGGUGGUAUCUUCUUACUCUUUUUGAUGUUGCAUUUUGGUGUUGGCAAGUUUAGCUUGAGUAGAAAUUUUAUUUCUACCACUAAAAGCUUUUGAAGUUAGAUUGCUAGUUCUGUGAUACAUAGUUAAAAAUGCGAUAAAAAUUGCCCACUAUCUAAACCUGUGGUAUUGUAUGCAAUUGGAAGAUGUUAUCCUAUAUUCUUUAGGGUCAUUUACCUGUAAAUCCAGAGGACAGAGGAGAGGAUUGCAAUUUUGAGAUUUUCAUAUAAUUUUUGUCAAUUUUACUGUUUUACCCCCUCAAAAUAAAUUUACCGAAAACCUUUUUCCCAAUCAAACAGACCCUAAGUGUUUGCUGUGGUUGUUAAUGUGUUCCUCAAAAUUUGUAUAGCUUUUCGAAAAACAUUUUUCCUAUUGAUAACAGUAGUAGCCUAGGCAAUAGGCAUUCUAAAAGGAAGUAACUUUUGAGAAGGGCUCGUCACUAAGACAAAGUAUGCAAAAAAUUAGGACAAUUUUAGAGGCCCCAACUAUAUUGUAGCAAAUGCCAAUUUUAGAGGCUCCAACUAUAUUGUAGCUAAUGCAAGCUAAGCUAAGUUAAUUGGAACCACUUCUCCCUUUGACGUUAAUUGUACAUGCUUUUAGCUUGUGGGAAACUAACUCUUAUAAGAGCAACCCCUUCUCUUGAAUGCAAUGCUAUAUUGAGAAUCUAAGAUCAGACUCCCUUUCUGCCAGUUUUCUUGCACUAGUCUUGCUCUUCCCUUGUUAAUGGUCAAUUGGUCAUGGAUGAGCAGAGGAAGAGAUACGGAAGCAAUAAAUAACCCUGCUUUUGUCAGGGGGAUGCAUGUGAUAACAAUUCGUCAAUUCUGCAGGUUUCCUUGGAACCUCGUGCACAUAAGCAAUUCCUUUUGAAUCUAUGUAAAAAAUGGAUGAUUCUGUUGAUUUUAUAUGGAAGAGAAGUAACCAGAAAUAAACCUCAACAGAAAACUCUAACAAGCACUGAUAAGUUGUUUUGGGACUUGUACAAAAAGCCAUGUGAUGAUAGGCUACAUCACUUGUAAACAAUACAUACAUAAGGGGAGUAGGGGACUAAACUUUAUCACAACAUGGAACGUAACUCUUUUCUUUUCAAACCAAAACCUAAAUCACGAUACUCAUCCACCAGUACGUGGGCAGUUCAUUCAUAUAUAUAAAUUAGUAACUACUUGAACAUGGAAGCAGCCAAGUUGUUUCCAAGUCGUAUUAAGGUUCCUUAUCUCCUUCUGUUUUCUAAUCUCACCAUGAGUUCGUCAAUAUAUAGGUAUCUAUAUAUAAUCUGAUCAUAUGUUCGGCAUAAUAUCUGUAUAUUAAGAGUUAUCAACAAUUCAACAUACAUUAAAAACUCAAUGGAUAAUGGUAGUGGUGUUGUUGAUUGGUCUGAGAUUGGAGAGGAUGAACUGGUUUCCAUUGCUAAUCGUCUCUAUAGUGUGACUGAUUACUUCCACCUUAGUCAAGUUUGCAAAGCAUGGAGAUCUAUCAAUACUUUAACUCGUCAAAAUGUUUUGAUUCCUCAACCACCUUUGCUAAUGCUAGCUGAAUCCAAGAAGAACACAACCAAAGAAGAGGACAAUCUGCAGACAAACAAC
rnacentral:lncRNA from 1 species